GUCUUCUUAGCUCAGUUGGUAGAGCAAUUGACUCUUAAUCAAUGGGUCUGGGGUUCGAGUCCCCAAGAGGACA
rnacentral:tRNA from 1 species